rnacentral:tRNA from 1 species
GGGGGUUUAGCUCAGUGGCACAAGUGCCUGCCUGGCAAGCUUGAGGUCAUGAGUUCAAUCCCCAGUAUACCCCA